AUGUAUUGCAGAGUUUGUGCACAUAUGGGUCUUAGCGUGUAGUCACUAAUCGCGCCGAGUAUAGGUGUACUGCACAUUGAGUAUCGUUACAGUUACUAAGCUCCUACGAAAUCAAGCCCCCUCAGAGCUCGGUUGUUUUUCUCUAGCGGCCCCCGGAUGUCAGUGUUAGGCCCGUUUGUCACCACAGCCCAACCGACGGCCUCGCAUUGGUCAAAAUUGGGCCAUGUUCUCUUCGUCUCCAGAGGGAACGCGAUUUAGGGGAAGCGCUAGCGAGGUCGGCGGUCGCCAUCACCCAUCUCGUGAAGGGGGCGCUCAGGCGGCAGUCGAUGGUUCUGGCAGGGCAGCGGUGUGUCCGCGGGAUGAGGGCGUUCCCGCGAGGUGGUUGCCGAAGGGAGGCAUCCCUGCGCCACUGCCACUAUUCCGUAUCGUUUUCCUCCUCUGUUAGUUCCAGGAUGGUGUCAUGUUGAAGCAGAGCAAUGUGAUGUUGUCCUCGAGCCAUGGGGCAGUGCCGUCGUGGACAGACGGGUCAGAUGAUGAGUACAGAGUUACACGAUGUUGCUCCUCUUUUUUUUUUCUCGCCGAGGGACUGCUUCCACCGCCCAGGUUGGACAACAAUAAUGUUGGAAUCCGCCGAGCAGGCCGCUGCCCCGACGUUGGCCACCACUGGCUGGGGUCGUAGUGCCCUCUGCUCGGAGGUCACCCAGGUCGACGUCCGUAGGUGAUUCCUCCUCCAGCAGCAGCCUCCCAUCCUGCACCUGACAGUCAACGUCGCUAUCUCCAAUGAGGGAAUUAGGCAGCAUUCCAUGCCUCACUACUUUAUGAUGCUUUGUGGAUGGAAAUGACCUGACGCUAAUUCCAACCAUUCUUUUGUCUCUAUCCUCUCCCUAACUGACCUCAAGCAAAGCUGCUACUGCUGCUCCAGGGGCAGAUAAUCGAACAAAGGGUGAGGCGGACGAGCUAGAGAAGAUUAAGUAUUCCACAUAUACAGAUGUUAUCUCGGAUUAGAUGAGAAUCAUUCAUCUUCAAUUUUGCAUAACAAGAAACCUAGCUUAUAUUUUUCUAUUGCGACAUUCCAAUGUCUCAAGUUCUUUUGACGUGGAGCAUCCUACAAACAUCACCAUGUCAAGAGUCCGUAUGGCAAGUGAUACGUGCGGCAUCUACUUCACAUACUUAAAGGUGAAUCAUCUCCUUUAUACAUGUCCACUUGACCCCUUCGAGGACGGUAUACUACUUGACAUUCCUCUCGUGUGCAUACAUAGGUAUUGCCGGAGCUUCAUGGAUGACGAGGAGGAGUGCAAGAGCCAAGGAUCACCUACAUCAUCCGUGAGGGAAGCUUGGAAGCGAAGAUGGAAGAAGACGGAGCUGCAGCAAAGCUACAACCACCGGACGUCCGGCCACCCGCAGACCAGACGACCAAAAGAACUCCAGCCAACGAGUGCUACAAAGGCCGGACGGUCGACGACCUCCGGACGUCCGACAAGUCCUAGCCACUGGACGUACGACGCCUACUGGAUAUCCAGUGCCACCUAUCCAGAAGCAAACUGUCAGAAGUCCGACGCCCUCCGGACGUCCGGACCACCGCGAGCGACCGGAUAUUCGGUAACCACCGUACGUCCGAUCCUGCCUGUGCGCAGCCGGGCCUUUGGCCUUGUAUACCUCUCCCACUUACCCCUUCGUGGCUAAGACUAUAUAUACUCCUCCCCCACCCCUAGCUAGAGUUAGCAAAUAUGAUAGCUCAUUUGUAUGUGAGCUUUGCUCCUACCACUCUACUCUUGAGAGAAAGCGAGAGAGAGACUACCACUCCCAUGGAGCUCAAGACCUCCAUGUGAGCAUGUGAGAAGAUCCUAUGGGAUUCAAGACCCCUCAUGGGAAGACCCGUCACAGAUUCAAGAUCUCCUCUUGAAGAUGAACUUCACAUUGUAUCUUUCCCUUUGUUGUUCAUGUACCUUGUGGAUCUAUGUGUUUAUUAGUCUAGUGGAUGUGUGAUUGGACUUGUU